GCUUACGGCCAUACCACUCUGAGCACGCCCGAUCUCGGAAGCCAAGCACGGUCGGCUGGUUAGUACUUGGACGGCAGACCGCCUGGGAAUACCAGGUGCUGUAAGCU
rnacentral:rRNA from 1 species